rnacentral:rRNA from 1 species
UACAGAGGUCUCAAGCGUUGUUCGGAUUCAUUGGGCGUAAAGGGCGCGUAGGCUGCGGGGUAAGUCGGGUGUGAAAUCUUGGAGCUUAACUCCGAAACUGCAUUCGAUACUGCCGUGCUUGAGGACUGGAGAGGAGACUGGAAUUUACGGUGUAGCGGUGAAAUGCGUAGAUAUCGUAAGGAAGACCAGUGGCGAAGGCGGGUCUCUGGACAGUUCCUGACGCUGAGGCACGAAGGCCAGGGGAGCAAACGGG